rnacentral:misc_RNA from 1 species
GAUGAAGAACGUAGCGAAAUGCGAUACGUAAUGUGAAUUGCAGAAUUCAGUGAAUCAUCGAGUCUUUGAACGCACAUUGCGCCCCCUGGUAUUCCGGGGGGCAUGCCUGUCCGAGCGUCAUUGCUGCCCUCAAGCACGGCUUGUGUGUUGGGCCUCCGUCCUCCUCCCGGGGGACGGGCCCGAAAGGCAGCGGCGGCACCGCGUCCGGUCCUCGAGCGUAUGGGGCUUCGUCACCCGCUCGUGUAGGCCCGGCCGGCGCUUGCCGACACAUCAAUCUUUUUUCCAGGUUGACCUCGGAUCAGGUAGGGAUACCCGCUGAACUUAAGCAUAUCAAUAAGCGGAGGA